UCGAGAAUUUUUGGCAAUGGGCGCAAGCCUGACCAAGCGAUGCCGCGUGCGGGAUGAAGGCCUUCGGGUUGUAAACCGCCGUCAGUGGGGAGAAAAGGUAGGUGGGUUCUCCCAUCUAUUUGAUCUAUCCGCAGAGGAAGUGUGGGCUAAGUUCGUGCCAGCAGCCGCGGUAAGACGGACCACACGAACGUUAUUCGGAAUUACUGGGCUUAAAGGGUGCGUAGGCUGCGCGGAAAGUUGGGUGUGAAAUCCCUCGGCUCAACCGAGGAACUGCGCCCAAAACUACCGUGCUCGAGGAAGAUAGAGGUGAGUGGAACUUACGGUGGAGCGGUGAAAUGCGUUGAUAUCGUAAGGAACACCUGUGGCGAAAGCGGCUCACUGGGUCUUUUCUGACGCUGAUGCACGAAAGCUAGGGGAGCAAACGG
rnacentral:rRNA from 1 species